GUGCUUGCUUCAGCAGCACAUAUACUAAAAUUGGAACGACACAGAGAAGAUUAGCAUGGUCCCUACAUAAAGAUGACAUGCAAAUUUGUGAAACAUUCCAAAAUUUU